rnacentral:tRNA from 1 species
UCCGUAGUUCAAUGGAUAGAACAAAAGUUUCCUAAACUUUAGAUGCAGGUUCGAUUCCUGCCGGA